rnacentral:rRNA from 1 species
GAUGAACGCUGGCGGCGUGCUUAACACAUGCAAGUCGAACGGAAAGGCCAGUUCUUGCACUGGUGCUCGAGUGGCGAACGGGUGAGUAACACGUUGGUGAUCUGCCCUGCACUUUGGGAUAAGCCUGGGAAACUGGGUCUAAUACCAGAUAGGACCAUGCUCUUGAUGGUGUGGUGGAAAGUUUUUUCGGUGUGGGAUGAGCUUGCGGCCUAUCAGCUUGUUGGGGGGGUAAUGGCCUACCAAGGCGUCGACGGGUAGCCGGCCUGAGAGGGUGUACGGCCAAAAUGGGACUGAGAUACGGCCCAGAAUCCUACGGGAGGCAGGAGUGGGGAAUAAUGGAAAAUGGGGGAAAGCCUGAUGCAGCGAAGCCGCGUGGGGGAUGACGGGCUUCGGGUUGUAAACUCCCUUCGCAACUGAAGAAGCUUUUUGUGACGGUAGGGUGAGAAGAAGCACCGGCUAACUACGUG